rnacentral:rRNA from 1 species
CACCGCGGUUAUACGAAAGACCCUAGUUUACAGGCACGGCGUAAAGGGUGGUUAUGGGUUAAACAAAAUAAAGCCAAAGAUCUUCAAAGCCGUCAUACGCCCAUGCAGACACGAAGCCCAAACACGAAAGUAGCUUUACCAAGCAGUACCCGACUCCACGAAAGCUGGGGAC